rnacentral:misc_RNA from 1 species
UCCGAUUUGUCACCGGCAGUCUCCCAUGAGUCCCCGACAUCUCUGCGGGCUUCCUGGCAUGUCAAGGGUAGGUAAGGUUUUUCGCGUUGCAUCGAAUUAAUCCACAUAAUCCACCGCUUGUGCGGGUCCCCGUCAAUUCCUUUGAGUUUUAACCUUGCGGCCGUACUCCCCAGGCGGUCAACUUCACGCGUUAGCUUCGUUACCAAGGGAGUUAAUCCCCCGACAACCAGUUGACAUAGUUUAGGGCGUGGACUAC